GGAGGAGGGGCAGGAGCAUGGACUGACGGAUGUCAUCCUCCCUCUUUGAACACCUGAGAGUGGCUGAGGAAUGAAAAAAUGCCCUUCUGAAAGCAGCUUUACCUUCUACUCUGUGACUCCAGGAUCACUCUUUUGGAUAUCUGGUUUUCCCCCCAUCUUUCAAAAACAUAAAGAAAAAAUAACAGAGGUAACUGUCUAGUGUUCCCGAUACCAUUUAUUGAAGAGACUGUCAUUUCCCCAUAGUAUAUUCUUUCCUCUUUGUCAUAGAUUAAUUGAUGUAAGUGUGGGUUUAUUUCUGGCCUCUCUAUUCUGUUCCAUUGAUCUGUGUGUCUGUAUUUGUGCCAGUACUGUACUGUUUUGACUACUAUUGGCUCUGUGGUAUAAUUUGAAACCAGGGAAUAUGAUACUUUCAGUCUUGUUAUUCUUUCUUAGGCAUGCUUUGGCUAUAUGGGGUCUUUUGCCAUUCCGCACAAAUUUUAGGAUGAUUUGUUCUAGUUCUGUGAAAAAUGUCAUGGUUAUUUUAGUAGGGAUUGCAUUGAAUCUGUAAAUUGCUUUGGGUAGUAUGGACAUUUUAACAAUAACUCUUCUAAUCAAUGAGCACAAGGUCUUUUUAUUUAUUUGUAUCCUAUUCAUU